CGACAAAGUGGGCCACUGAAAAUCACUCUGGGCUGGGCACACUGGCCCAACCGCCAACUGCCAUCUUUAUUUCUUUGCCUGAGGACUUUGACUGCUGGGUCCUCUUUGCUGAAGAGAAGGCCAGAAAUGUCAAGGAUGCCUCCUGGGAGCAGCCUUCAAGCAAUGGCUGCAGCAUCCCCGGGGAGGCCACCGGAUGAAGUUCAGACUCUAAGUUGGUGUGCAAUGCCCUGCGUGCUCUAGCCCUCGCCCACCUCACUUCUGGAUACCCCUCUUCCCACACUUGCAAGACUCUCCUCACACCACUCGCCCUACCCGAAGACCCACCCCGCAACCCCAUCCCCUCCACUUGGUGAAUAUUACUCACCUUUCAAGACUCAGCUCAAUGGCUGCUUCCUCUAGGAAUUCAUUUCUGACCACCCUCCCUCAGUGAAAGGCAAUCAUUCCUGCCAGGGAGCCCUAGGUGACCUGAAC
rnacentral:lncRNA from 1 species